GAUGAACGCUGGCGGCGUGCCUAAUACAUGCAAGUCGAGCGAACAGACGAGGAGCUUUCUCCUCUGACGUUAGCGGCGGACGGGUGAUUAACACGUGGAUAACCUACCUAUAAGACUGGGAUAACUUCGGGAAACCGGAGCUAAUACCGGAUAAUAUAUUGAACCGCAUGGUUCAAUAGUGAAAGACGGUUUUGCUGUCACUUAUAGAUGGUUCCGCGCCGCAUUAGCUAGUUGGUAAGGUAACGGUUUACCAAGGCAACGAUGCGUAGCCGACAUGAGAGGGAGAUCGGACACACUGGAACUGAGACACGGUACAGACUCCUACGGGAGGCAGCAGUAGGGAAUCUUCCGCAAUGGGCGAAAGCCUGACGGAGCAACGCCGCGGGAGUGAUGAAGGUCUUCGGCUCGUAAAACUAUGUUAUUAGGGAAGAACAAAUGUGUAAGUAACUAUGCACGUCUUGACGGUACCUAAUCAGAAAGCCACGGCUAACUACGUG
rnacentral:rRNA from 1 species